GAACCGGUGGACACCCAAAUGACUAUGUAUUUGCUUGGUUUUUCUCUUUUGAUCAAGGAAUCAAGGAUCUAACAAAUUUAUGGUGCAGAAAUAUUCCAGUCAUGCUCUUCCAAUACCAAUCCAGAUACAGAUAGAGGCAUAAAGCUACUUGCACAGUAAUGGUAAGAUUUGCCACAAGCUGAGUAAUACUACAAUUUUUGGCCUCAAAAGGCAAAAGAAACUUCAACCACAAAAUCCCCACCAUUGGCCAUUGUUUCGCUAAGACAUAUCUUCAUGAUAAAGAUGAAGACCAAGCCCAAAGCGUGCACAGGCUCGACGGAAUGCCAUUGCUUCUGCCUUUUGUACAGGAUCUCCAAAACCUACAUCGUCCAUGGAAGCAGUCCCAAUCGAUUCCCUAUAUAUCUCAGCAUCAGUCCCAUAUAGUGUCACACGAUAAACAACAGACACAGACUUGCCAUCAGCAGAAUAAGUUAUGUUCCGAACCUCACCAGACCAUUCUGGAGCGUGCAAGUUCAUUAUCCUGUUGACCAUAUGCCAGGGGAUGUACUUGACAGAGAAGCCAUCCUCACGGCGUUCCCUUACGACGGAAUCGGGGACCCUUUUGUUGAGUUCUUUGAGAACUUCCGAUAGUGGCCUGCUGAUUCCUGAAGUGAGGACGUCGUUGCUUUCCGUCUCAGUUGGCCUCUCUGUUUCUCCAAAAGAGGAGAAAGAAGAAUAAGGGUUGGAAGAAUAGGAUAGUUUUAAAAGAACUAAAGAUGAUUGCUUCAGUUUCAAGGGGGACUGAGAAGACAGUGAUCUUGCUGUGAGCAACUUCAUUUUCAUGGUCGACAUUUGCUGUUCUUAGAGUGAGACAGUAUCAAAGGAGCAACUUCGGCGUCGAACUCCUCUCCCACUUCUUUUCACGCCCAAAUCGGAAGUAAAUUUCAC
rnacentral:misc_RNA from 1 species